CCCACAACCUCAGCAUGUGCCGGACCGAGAAUCAACCCCGCGACCUCCUGGUGCGUGGGUCCGCGCUCAACCAGUGAGCCACACCGGCGGGGCCUGUCAGCUGAGUUUUUGAUUCCAAGUGUAAUUCUGGUGCCUACAUUAUUGCUACAGUGUGUGCAUUCAACAAAAGAACUUCUGGUUUGGACAUGUAGGAGGCAGAAAAUCAAUGUGCAAUAACUGGACUCACAAAUAGAAGCACCUUAGAAGACUGUAACUGUGGAGACUCCUGAAAAGAGUGAACUGGUGGUUUUACAGCCCUGUAUCAUGCUACAGCUCUACUUGCAGUGUUUUGUCUCAGGUAUAGAGAGCAACGCUUCUGCUACGAGUCUUCAAGGAGUAAAAAGACUGAACCGUAUUGCCAGUAGGAAGAAUUCCUUACUAUCAAAUUCUCGUCAACAAGUCUGACAAAUUGGGAUAUCCUUGACCUAUAUUCCUGGGGAGAACAUGACAAUUAUGGGAUAUGAGGUAGCAAAUUGAGGGGCGGACUGUUCAUCCUCAACGUCUGCAGGUGAGAACAGAUUCUUUAACCACCUUAAAUGACUUCUGGAAGCUGUUGGGUGACAUCAAUUGGAUUAGAUCAGCUUUAAA